UGGGGUAUAACCAGUGGUAGAGUGUAUGCCUGGCAAGCACAAGGUCCUGGGUUCAAUCCCCAGUACUUCUA
rnacentral:tRNA from 1 species